CGAAGAAAAUGGCGGGAAUGUGAUAAUAGUACAGAUCGCUGGCGCAGAGAAAUGAGGAUCUUUUCUUCAACGAAAUGGCGAAGAAGAAGAAAGUUAGGGUUUCUGAAGAAAACAAGGAGGAAGAUCAGAACCAAGAGGAUCUCAAACAGUCUCCGAAGAAAGAGAAGAGCUUGUAUGAGGUGA